GGGGAAUAUUGCACAAUGGGCGAAAGCCUGAUGCAGCAACGCCGCGUGAGUGAUGAAGGUCUUCGGAUUGUAAAGCUCUGUCUUUUGGGACGAUAAUGACGGUACCAAAGGAGGAAGCCACGGCUAACUACGUGCCAGCAGCCGCGGUAAUACGUAGGUGGCGAGCGUUGUCCGGAUUUACUGGGCGUAAAGGGUGCGUAGGCGGAUGUUUAAGUGAGAUGUGAAAUACCCGGGCUUAACUUGGGUGCUGCAUUUCAAACUGGAUAUCUAGAGUGCAGGAGAGGAGAAUGGAAUUCCUAGUGUAGCGGUGAAAUGCGUAGAGAUUAGGAAGAACACCAGUGGCGAAGGCGAUUCUCUGGACUGUAACUGACGCUGAGGCACGAAAGCGUGGGUAGCAAACAGGAUUAGAUACCCUGGUAGUCCACGCCGUAAACGAUGAGUACUAGGUGUAGGAGGUGUCGACCCCUUCUGUGCCGCAGUAAACACAUUAAGUACUCCGCCUGGGAAGUACGAUCGCAAGAUU
rnacentral:rRNA from 1 species